rnacentral:lncRNA from 1 species
GUUUAAUUCCAUGCAUUUGUUUGCUUUGAUAGUCAUUCUUGUUCCCAUUGCUGUUCAAUACAGAGAGGGAGCUGGCAUCAGAAAACAACACUGGGAGCUGGGGACUGACAGUACAGGAGACCAGAGGGGAGCCAGGAAGUGGUCAGCAGGCAGAAAGGAAAUGAGCUACAAGGAAAUGGCACUUGAGUAUGAAAGAUCAACACGUUGGGUCAAGGUAGCACAUUUGCCAAGAGGAAGCACACGCCCUUGAAGACGUUGGGUGCAAGUAUCUGGUCACCAGACUUUUCUAGGUCAUUUCCGUAAGCCACCUGGACAAGCUGGUUGAAGUGAAUAUGGUCUGUUCACAAGUUGCCUGGAAUUGCUUUUCUUUUGCUGUUCUUUGUGUUCUAAAAUGUUCAAUGUCUUGCUCUGGCUCUUCUUUAGUCACUUAUGGCCAAAAGACCUGGUCCCCUGUUCAAGCAGCAAUAAUACCUCCCGGCCCCACAAAUUCCCAAGGAUGUUGCUCUUAAAUUCCACUUAUUUC